GACGUAGGGGGCGAGCGUUGUCCGGAUUUAUUGGGCGUAAAGCGUGCGUAGGCGGCUGCGCAAGUCGGUUGUGAAACCCCGGGGCUCAACCCCGGAACUGCAUCCGAUACUGCGUGGCUAGAGGUAGGUAGGGGAGAUCGGAAUUCCUGGUGUAGCGGUGAAAUGCGCAGAUAUCAGGAGGAACACCGGUGGCGAAGGCGGAUCUCUGGGCCUUACCUGACGCUGAGACGCGAAAGCGUGGGGAGCGAACAGG
rnacentral:rRNA from 1 species